rnacentral:misc_RNA from 1 species
GUUGAGACCUUCAUAUUAUGUAUGGAGCAUAUUACCUGAAAGGGAACUUGAUUCUUUGCUAGUCUAGUAGAUUCUUUAAUGUUCUGCUAACUAUUGUAUUGGGAUAAUAGCUGUAAAGCUUUCACUGCCCUUUAUAAUAAAAGUUUGUGGAACACCUGGCGAAACUGCUGGUAGUGAAAAGGGAAACUGGCCCAUGUUUCUGCUGUUGCAGGUUCCUUAGUUAAUGGGCUAGUGACGUAGUGUUUUCUGCUCUUGCAAGAAGAAAUUAUCUACAUAAUGAAAUCAAUAUUUACAACUGAAGUAAGGUAGCAUAUGGAAUAUGUGAGGGCAGAUUCUUUUGGAUUUUUAAUUUAUAAUUGCAGUUAUAAUGUGAUAGAACUUUCUUUUUGUAAUCAUAUUUGGC